GGGGCCAUAACUCAGUGGUAGAGUGGCUGGCUCAUAACCAGUUUGUCGUAGGUUCGAAUCCUACUGGCCCCACCA
rnacentral:tRNA from 2 species